GAGAUACCCCUCUGGGGCAAGACUUGCUUCAGUGGGGCUUUGGUGCUCACUGAAUCUGCCCCCUGAGUGUGUCCUU
rnacentral:pre_miRNA from 1 species